AUUGAACGCUGGCGGCAGGCCUAACACAUGCAAGUCGAGCGGAUGAAGGGAGCUUGCUCCUGGAUUCAGCGGCGGACGGGUGAGUAAUGCCUAGGAAUCUGCCUGGUAGUGGGGGAUAACGUCCGGAAACGGGCGCUAAUACCGCAUACGUCCUGAGGGAGAAAGUGGGGGAUCUUCGGACCUCACGCUAUCAGAUGAGCCUAGGUCGGAUUAGCUAGUUGGUGGGGUAAAGGCCUACCAAGGCGACGAUCCGUAACUGGUCUGAGAGGAUGAUCUGUCACACUGGAACUGAGACACGGUCCAGACUCCUACGGGAGGCAGCAGUGGGGAAUAUUGGACAAUGGGCGAAGGCCUGAUCCAGCCAUGCCGCGUGUGUGAAGAAGGUCUUCGGAUUGUAAAGCACUUUAAGUUGGGAGGAAGGGCAGUAAGUUAAUACCUUGCUGUUUUGACGUUACCAACAGAAUAAGCACCGGCUAACUUCGUG
rnacentral:rRNA from 1 species